UACAACUGGUGACCGCAGGAACCCAAAUGCCCUUCUGAAUUGUGUGCAAAGUGUGACAGUGUUUCCUUCAACGCAGGACUCUGAGAGGCUUCUGUCUCAUGCACUCCAGCAGCAGGGGUAUUUCAGCAAUUCCAGAUCCUCAGACCUAUGCACAGUUAUCAGCAAAUGCAGCUGCAUGAGAGUCGGCUCUCACAGCCCCAGCCACCUAUUGCAAGAACACCAAUGAGCUGUCCUGCAUCCAAAAGUCCACCUCCAUAAUGACUGAACCUUCCAAUCAGAUAAGUCCCACUUCUUUUAAUACCCUUCCUCAGUACCUGUGGCCUCCCUGCCUCCCUCCCACUCUCCCCUUUUCCUUUCCAUUGUCCUUUUACCCCUUUUUUAUGUUUCCACAAAUUCCUAGCUCCUUUUCCCCCUUUUCAUGGCUUCCCUCCACUAAUCUCUUUCCCCAGAGUUCCUUCAUAAUACCAGAGGGAGUGUGAUUGGGAGGGAAAGAAAGGAAUGUUUCCCUAAAGUAACCAUCUUUUUCUUAAAAGUUAAUGAUUUCUAUUUACAGUUUCCAACAGGCACACCGCUGCCUACACUACCUCAUACAGAGCCAAUCACAGCCAACAACACUGCCACAGGUGCCAGAGAACCAGUCCCUGCUGAAAGAACCUUCUCCUGACUCAUUUUCCUGAUAAACCAUACUAAGAAAACCCUGCAUCCAUCCUGCCAACUCCAAGAAAAUCUAUUUGGACACCGAGGACUCAGAAUUGUUUGCAUUUUGAAAAUUGUCUUAUGGGUGCUUUUUGAUUGUUU